UUUACUGCAUAAUACAUAAGUAAUAAUGCAUGUUUACAUCUUCGUUUUCAUUCUUCCUCUUGUGCUCGCUUUCUCUCUUUGCAACUUUCACUCGCGCAUUCACACUCGACAUUGAUUCGAUCGUAUUCGUAAGUUCAAAGAAUAAUCGAGUUUAUCCUUUCGGAUCCGAAGCGAACACGUCUGAAUU